CUCAGGAUGAACGCUGGCGGUCGUGCUUAACACAUGCAAGUCGAACGGAGUUUUAACGGAAGUUUCGGACGGAAGUUAAAACUUAGUGGCGGACGGGUGAGUAACGCGUGGGUAACCUGCCUCAUACAGGGGGGAUAACAGUUAGAAAUGACUGCUAACACCGCAUAAUAGUAGCGAAACCGCAUGAUUUUUGCUAUCAAAUAGUUUAUAGGUAUGAGAUGGGCCCGCGUCUGAUUAGCUAGUUGGUGGGGUAAAGCCUACCAAGGCGACGAUCAGUAGCCGGCUUGAGAGAGUGACCGGCCACAUUGGGACUGAGACACGGCCCAAACUCCUACGGGAGGCAGCAGUGGGGAAUAUUGGACAAUGGGGGAAACCCUGAUCCAGCGACGCCCGCGUGAGUGAGGAAGUAUUUCGGUAUGUAAAGCUCUAUCAGCAGGGAAGAUAAUGACAGUACCUGACUAAGAAGCCCCGGCUAACUACGUGCCAGCAGCUGC
rnacentral:rRNA from 1 species